rnacentral:antisense_RNA from 1 species
AAAAUUUCAUUAAACGAUUGAACUUAGAAAAGUACGGAUUUACAAACCACAUGUAAAAAUGAUAAUCUAUUUCUACCUAAAUAUUAUAUUUCCAAGACUCCUCUGGACCUAAAGGCAAUUCUAAGUUGUUCACGGACAUGUUCUACAGCUUCUGAUUUUCUUGGUCUUAUACGGCCUCUUUCAGAGUUAUUCGCACGCCUACCGUAUCCUCCGUUGCUUUUAGGCUGCUGGGUUAGGUUUCUGAGUUCAGGAUUUGAUAACGCUAUGGCAUUAUUACUGCUAUCAGUAGCCUUUUCAGAGAUAGGGUUUGGAUGCAGCCCCAAACUCUUUCUAUUCCUAUGAAAAUUUCUCUUGGUGUGUUUAAGGUUUAUUUUAGAAGGCUCAGGAAAAUCAUUAAGCGCCGAGGUAACCUGCGUAUUUUGCGUAGGAUUAUGCUUGUUGGACGACGAACCAACAUUAUUGUUCCUUUGAUAAAACCUCUUCUUUCUUCUAACCUUGAUAUUAUAAUUUCUAUCAUUAUUAUUAAACGGGUUAUCGCUAUGAGCAGCUACUACUGCAUCCAAGCCAGAACAAUGAGUCGUUAAUCUAUCUACUUGAUUUGUUCCGGAGUUCACCACUCCCAUAGUUGUGUCUACACUACUGUUGUUAUCAUCACUAAGUAUCAUCUUCAAAUUCGAGUCCUUUUCCACAAUUGUUUUAAGGAGGUGAGUAUUAAUAGACUGGCUUGAAAUCGAAUUUGAUGCAUUAUCACUAUUGCAGGUGGUGCUUAGAAUGUUCCUUUGAGAGAACUUCUUUCUCCUUUUAUACUUCUUCUUCUUUCUCUUAGACUCGUCAAAGUUUAUAUGAGCAAUAGUUGUGUUAAUAACCUGGUCGAGCAAGCCAUCAAACUUAGUCGUAAUCGUCUCUUGAGUUGAAGAAGUCUGAGAAGAAGAGUUUUUGAGAGCAACACUAGGCUUCUGCUGCUGUUCUGCUUGAAAUCCCAAGUUCAAGUGGUUUUCUUCGUAGAUAUAACCUUCAGAGCACGAUCCAUGAUCAGACCCUGGGGGAGAAUUAGCUUUGGAGUUUUGCUUAUUAUGCUCAUCGUCUUCUGCUCCAAUAACGGUGAUAGGUAAUUGCAGAGGGUUAUUAGAAUGUGAGAGAGACUUUUCAGAAGCCAGAUUAAUACCCUUACUUUGUGUAUCUACUACCAAACUGCCCCCAGAUUUGUUCAGAUUAAGUGCUCUUCUUUUAGUAGCAAUUAGAAUUGCAGUCUCUCUGGAAACACCAAGGUAUUCAGCUUCAGCUAUCCAACGAAGCAGCUCCUCAUCAAAAACAGGGCCAGUUAUAGGGACUGAGCCAAAGGCAAGAUUCGGGGAGACGUCCUCCUGACGGUUCAAGAGACCAACCAUCAUAUUAAGCAGUCGUUUUGGAGCAGCACCAAUGUUUAUCUCAAUCGAGAGUGAAGUCCAGAGGCAGCAAGCAACUGGAGGCCAUUAAGUAUAUGAAUCUAUAUCUAAUAGAUUAUUUGAUCAAAAUGUAAGUUAUUAAAUGUGGAUAAAACAGAAGGGAAGAGAGAAAGGAAGUGCUAUAUAAGAACUUUGGUUGAAUCUUUAGCCAAAUAAGCGUGCUUGUUAACAGCGAUUAUCACAAAUUUGACAGUAUUUACGUAGUUGGAAACCUGAUUUCUGAAAUUCUAAAUUGAGGGAUUUUUUUUUUCUUACUAGAGUUCAGAUCUUUUAAAGUAAAUAAAAUUCUGAUACUUCAGAUAGAAUAUGUGAUUAUUAAUAAAUACACUACAACUUGGUCAAAUUACAUGUAUAUUAGCCGUUCCUCGCUUCAAACGACUCAAUUUAAACAAGACACACUCUCGUCAACUCCCCGUGCAGACCUCUUGAAAUAAUAAUAAAAAUAAUAAAGGAAUGAAGAAGUUAAAUAUAACUGAUAUCUAUGUUAAUAUGUUGCAUAGAUAUAUAGUUUGUUCAGUCGCUUCUUCUAAACUAUUGGGGCCGAUGCUGAAAUUUGAAAUGAGAAAGAGCUUCUUGUUAUGUCUCCCAGGAUAAAUCCAAGCCUGAAAAGGUGACAAACUGCUCAAAUGGACCUCCUUUGAUUGAUUGUAUUACCAAUUCAAAAAGUAUUAAACAUUCAAAGAUAUUAAUAGGAAACCGCUCUUCUAACGGCUUAAUAUCAAAGGUAUGUCCACUCUCCUUGUAACUUCCACUCAGAGAGGAAGUAAGCAAAGUAGCUCUAUGUCUGUACUUAAACGUCUCCAAACGCUAACCGAUCAAUUCAGCUGUCAGAAAUUAGAGCGACUUCGCUAACAAGCUCUUUUGUGCCUGUCAAGUGCUUUCUAUUAAAUCCAGAAGCCUCUAAUUCAAGGAUACAUAUACGUACAAAUGGCGCCUGUAUUAUGGCGCUUCUGGCAAAUAACUCAUAGAAAAAUACAAAAUAUACAAUGCAGCUUAAUAUUGCAUUAAAAGCGCAAUCACUUAAAUCUAUAUAGCUAUUAUUAUAAAGAUGAAUAUACCAAAUAUAAAAAUCUAGGGCAAGUAUACAUUAAGCUAAUGAGCCAUAGCUUUGUAUUAAUUUGAUUUUUUUGGAUUUACAGGAGAUGAUUGUGAAAUGUGUAUUACUUUUUGAUCGCUAAUAGGGCUGGAAAAACAGCCGUGUUUAACAUUACGCUUAUUAUUUGCAUUAUUAUCAAAUUCUCCAAAAUCUUGUUCCUCAUCAUCGCUUAUAGCAUUAUUCAGAAAGUCAAAGUCGUUCCUUUCUCCUAAUAAAUUAUACUCCCUCUUAUUUCUGUAACUAGAAGUGAAUUUAGAAACCAAAUAACCAAUCAAAUUCUUCAGGAGCGUAUAGAUAGGAGAAUGUAAAAUUGCUAUUGAGCACGCAAUUACAAUGAUUAGGAAUAGCAACAUUUUUCUUGUAGAUCUUUUUGAAUCAAGGAUUUUUUGUAGUGACUCUUUUUCAGAAAUUUCAAACUCGGAGUUGCCAACGUUAGUUGGAUCAAUUUGGUGAUAUGUCACUUUUCUAUCUAACUUAUUAGUAUCUGAUUCGUGAGCAGAGCUGUGAAAAUACUCUCGAUUAGAAGACACACUGAAUGGAUUGUCGAGUAGUUUUACUGUUUGAAGAGAAUCUUUUUCAAUAAAGUUUUGACCUCUAAUAUUUGAUGAUUGGGAUUGUCUAUUAUUUUGCUUAAAAACAUUCCAAUCUCCAUCCCAAACUACAUUACCCCAUCCUACCGAGUUCGCCUUAUAACCCGAUACUUCAAUCAAGAAUUUGUUUUUGGUCUCUAAAUAUACGGGUAUCCAUGGCGCAACCUUAUAAAAUGAAGCAGAAUUCUUGGGAGACAUGCUAUUAGUAUCAAUUACAAGAAAUCCACGUUUAGAGAAUUGCUCCUGACUUUCUGAAAAGAUUUUCGAAAAUUCAUGAUAACUAUAUGAUAGUGAAACUGUAUACCCAGCAUCAAAAAUAUGUAAAUUAUAAGGAUAUACACGUUCUUCUGGACCACUUUCCGACUUUCCAAUGAUGUAAAUCGAUUUGGAAAUUCUUUUGGGAGCUUUCCUAUCCAUUAGAGGUGUAGACAAUCGAAUUGUCAGAUGAAGGUUUUGCCCUGCUAUGAUUGGUACUGAAGGAUCUGGCGUGAUAGAAACAAUGAGUGGGUAGUUCUUUGAAAUAUUAUGACUAAUUGGAAUUAGUGAAAUUCCUAACAUAAUUGGUACGCUUUUAAGGUUAAAAGGAGGGAGGCUUCUAAUAGAGCAUUCCAAAAGAUGCUUUUGAGCCGUGAGAAUAACCGUAAUUCUUUCCAUUGCGUAUAAAGGUGUAGAAAUGUUUCCAUUAAAAUGCAGUAGACUGGACUUAAUUAAUUCAACUUCUGAAGAUGUUUCUUUAUCAUUUUCAUCAUUCUGAGAGUAAUCUGGUUCGGAAUAAAGUGUUAAUUUAGAUGAUACAAGAAGAGGAUUGUAAUAUAAGUCUGCAAUUAGCAAGGCCUGACCAGGAGAGAUCUUUUUUAAGUCGAAUAGAAGGUCAGUUUCAAACUCAUUCGAAUUUAAAGAAAGUACAACAUUUGAUGGGGGAAGAUGUAUAUAUUGAGGUAGAGUGUUUGUUGAAAGAGCACUACUCAAUUUGCUUUGCACUGAGCUAAACCAUGCAUCUGCAUAUGUGCUAAAUGGAGGAGGAUUUAGAAACUUAAUAUCUUUAUUUUGUGGAGAAACUGUAUGCAUAAUAAUGUCAAAUGCCAUACAUGGAAUCCUGUUAUUUAUUGAAUCAAGUUUGUGAGUGAAGGUCAUCCAAAAAGGAAUGUUUAAGGCUCCUGCAUGCUCGCUUCCAAUAAUAUCAAUAUCGAUCUUAAAAACCUUCUCAACGGAAUUCAGGAGUGAAUCCACAUUAGUGUAUAUAGGAUUUAUUGGUGUAGAGUUUAUUUUAGUGAACAAAACUUCGAGCAUAUUCGGAGACUCAGAAAUAUCAAAGUUUACAGGACUCAAUGAGAGUCUUAAGAAUGUAGGAAAUAAUUUUUUGUUAAGUUCAAGGAACACUUUCUUCCUACCAUUGUGAAUAUCUGUAAGUGUGAUUCUUGAUCUAAAAAUAAACAUUGGCUUAUUUGUAUCCAAUGGGCCACCAAAUACUGUGCUUCCACCCUGUAUACUCGUUAAAUCGAGUGGCAAUGGCACUCCAUUAGGUAUGUGACACUUAGAAUUGAUAUUUGACUGAGAUAAGGCUUUAUUUUUGCUUUUAUCUAAGUCUAAUGAAUUAUCAAUUACCAUAGAAGAUUCUAUAGCUGUCUCUGAGCCAUCAAUUGGUGAUACUUCAACGAAAAUUGAAAAUAAUAAUAUUUCAUGCUCUUCAUAGCUUGAAAAUGAAUUUAGCGACUCUAUUCGAAGUAUAUAUUGGCCUUUCGUGAGUUCCACUUCCAAAUAGCUCUGAGUUCCUCUUUGUUCUGCUACCCAAAAUCCUUCAGGGACAAUUAUUCCAAUCCUAUAAAAUGAAUAAAGAAAAUCAGAGUGAGUCUGUAGGUAAACUAUUGAAGAUGAUGCCACAUUUAAUUUCAAAUCAUGAAUACUACUUGAAAAGGUUGAAAGUUUACUUCUAGUCAUAAUUUGUCCUUGGCAGAUAUUAAUUAUUCCAGAGUUAAAGUAAGGACUAUUCUCUUCAUUUAGACUGAUCUUAAAAUCCUCCAGAUAAUAAUGGCAUUUCUGUUUUGGUCCAAACAUUUCCUUUUCAGUCAUUUUUGAUAUUCCUUUUUCUACAGAUUCUGUAAUACCUCUAAUCCUUCCGGUACCAACCACUCCAACACUUUCAUAUCUUUCUAGUUCAAUGUUAAAACCUUUCGAGAGAGAUAGAUUUUUUCUGAAGAAAUUUUCAUAAUCUACAGGAUUGAACUUAAUCAACCCAAAAGUAAUUAAAUAAGGCAUAUUAUUUGGAGCAGGUGAAAAUUGAAUCUCAUAUUCACCGGAUGAAAGUAGUGCUAAAGUAUCUCCAUACUUUCCAGACAUAAAAAUUGGAUGGCUCUUUAUUUCUUUAUUAUCUUCUUUAGUUUUAAAUAUUGUCACAUAAAAUUCAUAUCCUGAAAUAAGUGUUGGUUCGGAAAGGAUUCUAAGCAAGUGAGUUUCGUUUUCAGGAACUUUCAGUUUAGUCAUUUUUGUUUCUUUUAAGUUAAACAUUAUAGUACUCACAAACCCUCUGUGAGACUCUGAUAAGAAUCUAAUUCGAUUAAGUGAAUCUGGUAAUUCUUGGAAAGGAAGUAUAUCAGGAAUACUAAUAAGCUCCUGCCUCAAAGAAAAUAGUCUAUUCUUCAAAGUAGGCUUGAUAGACCCACUUAUUUUAAGUAAUGCAGAUCUUCC